rnacentral:lncRNA from 1 species
GCAUUUUCCCAUGAGAGGAAAGCGUUAGGCAGACGUAGAGGCCAUUCAAAAGGCUUGCACCGGUAUACUGGCGGCCAUACCGGCUAACGAGCUAAAACACUCGUUCGACACGUCUGAUUAUACCCUGCUUACGAUUUGCAUCUUCACUCAGUAGAAUUAAAGUUAAAACAAUUCAACUACAGAUCAACUCAACUCAUUUUUGGUAUUACGAACUACAACUAAUUUCAAUCGAAGUUUCGAUGAUGUUACCAACCUAAAAAGUGAAUAUUCGAUUAACUAAAUUCACUGUUUGCUCACGAUAGCAUAAAUAAAUACAACACACUCGCUUUGAUUUAUAUUUAAUACAAUGACGGAUGUGUUAGGGCCACAACUAAUGUGCUGCGCAUAUCUAAAAGCCUUACUGACCACUAAAAAUUAUUGGAAGUUCUUAACACCGAGUAAGCCACAAUUUUAUUUACAAUUAAUGAAUUCUAAAUAAUUUUUUGUACUGAUACGUAGUUAUUUUUGUUAAAUAAGGAAGCAUAUUAUUUUUUACUAAAUGAGAUAAAGGAACAUUUCCACAAACGUAUGCGAUGAACGGCCAUAUAUCUGUAUUUUAAUUAUGUGAACUCUCUGUAUCGUUGCCGAAGGUCGUUUGUUCGCAAUAUUUCUCAUAGAACAUUUCAUUUUGACUGCUCCUAAAUUGUGGCUUAUUUCGUCCACUUUGGGGAAUUUUCUCCACGGCCAUUCAAUUUUUCAACUCGUUUUUUUCUAUGUAUUUGCACAAAAUGGUUUAAAAUUAUAUAUUACUAAUUUAUUUAUUCGUUUUUAAUUUUUUCUUUAAGUUGUUCUCAAAUAAACUGCACUACUGUUCAACAACUACAAUUGUUAGGUAGCAGAAGUUCGUUGAUAUUUUGAUCAACCGCAUUGGCUGUGCUGAAACCCGUAAUACCACAAAAAGUUUAAAGUUCGACAAUCUCUCAAGCGAUAUUUUUUUAUGGAUAGAGUUGAUAUCGGCAAUACCGAAUUUUAAAGCUCCAACUAAAAUGCAAUUGAGUUGAAAAUCAUAAUAGGGGCUGGCUUUAGGGCGAUGUAACGGAUUUUUAGUAUGAAUAAAAAAAACCCGACUGCAAUUUUUAAACGAGGAUUAUCUAUACAGCAGCUAUUGCGAUCGCUACUUUUUUUAUUUACAUAAGAACUGUAUAUUCUAGCUUAUAUCCAUGUGUGCACUCUUUUUGUCUGAAGGAAAGACGAGUGCCUCAUUUAGUCAUUGGCGUGCCGUUGUGAGAACGUACAUAGUUGUUUUUGUUCUCAUUUGAGCAAUGUUGUUGUUUCAGUAUAAAUGCAAACUCCCCACCGCUUCUACCAUCCGUAACAUGGAUCUUUGCGCAUUUGGAUGUUUCCCAUAGAAACGAGUGUGCUCUCCUAAACGAAAGGUUGAUAGUCCUUAAUAUUAUAAAAUUAUAGCAGAAUACAAUUACUUAUAAAUAGGUAGACUAUUUUUAAUAAUUGGAUUUCAGUUUUGACCUUCUACACUAUGAAAAAUUAUAGAUAAAAAGCUAGGUGUGUGCAAAACUAUGUAAACUAAUUGAACAAUGUCAACGUGCCGCUUCGUGCACCGGUGCACACUUUGUGUUCUUGUUCGUAACAGUUUAUUUUGUAAUUCUUUCUACGCUUGGGAUUGCGCUCGGUUUUAAAUAAAUAUUUACAACAUACUCGAAAAUUUUAAUUUCUUUACUCUAUUAUAAAGGUCCGUUUCCAGCUCUCAAGUAAAUGCUAAAGAAAAAAAUUCCUUAUUUCUUGAGCUGUAGUCAAGUAGUAAUUUUGACAACAGAUUACGCAUUGUGAAUGAUCCACAUUAGGCAAGAGAGAGGAUAAACAAAGAAAAUAAACUUGGUGCAAGAAUAAUAGAGAAAGAGAUUACGCAAUGCGCAUGAGAUUUUUCCAUUUCCCUAAAGUUAAAACAGAACUUAAACAAUGGAUUCAUUUUUGUCGUAGUACGGACAAAAUUAAUGUUAAAAAUACAUGAAUUUGUGAAGUGCACUUCGCGCCAGAAGCCUUCGAAAGAAACUUGCAGUUUGAAAUGGGUUUAAGUUCGCGGAAUCCAACUAAGUUGCUACCUAGCGAUUUUCCCACGUUAACCACUGCUCCUGAAGAGGCUAAUGAACGGCAGAAAAGGAUGGACUGUCGUUCCAAAAAAGAAAUGUUAAACAACAAUGUUGAAGAAUACCGCCCUUGUUGAAUUAAUUCAAGAAGACGAGGUUGGAGAGGCAAUUUGGAAACAAAAAUGUUAGUCUUAAUUGAUAUUGAUGAAGUAUCUUUUUCUUACAUAAGUAUGUGUAUUUCUUAUUAUUUUUAGACAAAGGCUGGAUAAUGUUGUUAGAACUUUGAAAAAGUGCAAAAACGAGCAGUUAGCAGAAAUUAAACGCCUUAAAACCGCGGAAUUCCACAGAAAUAAUUUGGAGUAAAAACUUAGCUGCAUUUUCACCAACGGCCAGAUUGAAAAAUUAAGGGAUGGAAACAAACGCCGGAAUUGGAAAGAAGAAGACAUAGCUAAGUCGAUCACGCUAUAUUCAACGAGCCCGAAAGCCUACAAACUUUUAAGGGAAACAACUUUCCUCUACCAGGUGUGCGCACUCUGCAAUGGUGGUCAAAUAAAAUUGACGUAAUUCCAGGGGUCAUAGAGCCGAUUGUAGCUCGAAAGUAAAAGAAUUGUUUUCCAGAGCUAGAAUGUAUUUUAGGAUUCGUUCCUUAAAUAAAAACUUGAUAUAUGUAUAGCAAAAAAAGAAAAUUAAAUAAGACAAUAAAUUGAUACUUGGUUACAAAAUAUUCAAUCUUUUUAUUUACAUAAAUGUAUAGGGUUGAAACAAACACAGCAAAAAGACAAAAUUAAAUAAUACAAUGAAAAUUCGAUUAAAUGAAUAUGCAGGUA